rnacentral:rRNA from 1 species
GAAUUUUCCGCAAUGGGCGCAAGCCUGACGGAGCGACGCCGCGUGGAGGAAGACACCCUUCGGGGCGUAAACUCCUUUUCUGUGGGAAGAAUAAAUGACGGUACCACGGGAAGAAGCACCGGCUAACUACGUGCCAGCAGCCGCGGUAAGACGUAGGGUGCGAGCGUUGUCCGGAGUUACUGGGCGUAAAGCGCGCGUAGGCGGCUUGGCGCGUCGCACGUGAAAGCCCCCGGCUCAACUGGGGAGGGUCGUGCGAGACGGCCAGGCUGGAGGCAGGGAGAGGCUGGUGGAAUUCCCGGAGUAGUGGUGAAAUGCGUAGAUAUCGGGAGGAACACCGGUGGCGAAGGCGGCCAGCUGGUCCUGACCUGACGCUGAGGCGCGGAGGCGUGGGGAGCGAACGGG